rnacentral:rRNA from 1 species
CAGCAGCCGCGGGAAUACGUAGGUGGCAAGCGUUGUCCGGAAUUAUUGGGCGUAAAGCGCGCGCAGGCGGAUCAGUUAGUCUGUCUUAAAAGUUCGGGGCUUAACCCCGUGAUGGGAUGGAAACUGCCAAUCUAGAGUAUCGGAGAGGAAAGUGGAAUUCCUAGUGUAGCGGUGAAAUGCGUAGAUAUUAGGAAGAACACCAGUGGCGUAGGCGACUUUCUGGACGAAAACUGACGCUGAGGCGCGAAAGCCAGGGGAGCGAACGGGAUUAGAUACCCGUGUAGUCCCUGUCUCUUAUACA